rnacentral:rRNA from 2 species
CGGGCGUUAAGUUGCAGGGUAUAGACCCGAAACCCGGUGAUCUAGCCAUGGGCAGGUUGAAGGUUGGGUAACACUAACUGGAGGACCGAACCGACUAAUGUUGAAAAAUUAGCGGAUGACCUGUGGCUGGGGGUGAAAGGCCAAUCAAACCGGGAGAUAGCUGGUUCUCCCCGAAAGCUAUUUAGGUAGCGCCUCGUGAAUUCAUCUCCGGGGGUAGAGCACUGUUUCGGCUAGGGGGCCAUCCCGGCUUACCAACCCGAUGCAAACUGCGAAUACCGGAGAAUGUUAUCACGGGAGACACACGGCGGGUGCUAACGUCCGUCGUGAAGAGGGAAACAACCCAGACCGCCAGCUAAGGUCCCAAAGUCAUGGUUAAGUGGGAAACGAUGUGGGAAGGCCCAGACAGCCAGGAUGUUGGCUUAGAAGCAGCCAUCAUUUAAAGAAAGCGUAAUAGCUCACUGGUCGAGUCGGCCUGCGCGGAAGAUGUAACGGGGCUAAACCAUGCACCGAAGCUGCGGCAGCGACACU